rnacentral:rRNA from 1 species
GAUGAACGCUGGCGGCGUGCCUAAUACAUGCAAGUCGAGCGAACGGACGAGAAGCUUGCUUCUCUGAUGUUAGCGGCGGACGGGUGAGUAACACGUGGAUAACCUCCCUAUAAGACUGGGAUAACUUCGGGAAACCGUAGCUAAUACCGGAUAAUAUUUUGAACCGCAUGGUUCAAAAGUGAAAGACGGUCUUGCUGUCACUUAUAGAUGGAUCCGCGCUGCAUUAGCUAGUUGGUAAGGUAACGGCUUACCAAGGCAACGAUGCAUAGCCGACCUGAGAGAGUGAUCGGCCACACUGGAACGGAAACACGGACCAGACUCCUACGGGAGGCAGCAGUAGGGAAUCGUCCGCAAUGGGCGAAAGCCUGACGGAGCAACGCCGCGUCAGUGAUGAAGGUCUUCGGAUCGUAAAACUCUGUUAUUAGGGAAGAACAUAUGUGUAAGUAACUGUGCACAUCUUGACGGUACCUAAUCAGAAAGCCACGGCUAACUACGUG